UACGUAGGGUGCAAGCGUUGUCCGGAAUUAUUGGGCGUAAAGAGCUCGUAGGCGGUUUGUCGCGUCGAAUGUGAAAACCCGGGGCUCAACCCCGGGCCUGCAUUCGAUACGGGCAGUCUAGAGUUCGGUAGGGGAGUCUGGAAUUCCUGGUGUAGCGGUGAAAUGCGCAGAUAUCAGGAGGAACACCGGUGGCGAAGGCGGGACUCUGGGCCGAUACUGACGCUGAGGAGCGAAAGCGUGGGGAGCGAACAGG
rnacentral:rRNA from 1 species